rnacentral:lncRNA from 1 species
GACCGGCACAGCCGGUGUUGCAGUUGUCAUAGCAACUGAGACCUUGAGCAGCAACACUGAUCGUGUCGAUAUUGGCCGAUGAAAGGAUGAUGAACACCAUAGCUAUAGCUGCCAUUUUCUUCUUCUCCAUUUUUUUUUUCCUUAUGAGAGAACUGUCGGUAGAUUUGUGUGUAUAUAUAUAUAUUAGCUCGUUGUAACACUAUUGUUAGUGCCGUACAGGGGACAUGUGGCGGAGGAAUAUUCAUCAAUUUUCAAUCGGAUAAGUCUAAUUUGGAAUACCAAACUUUUACUUCUCUUUUAAUUGAUUUGUUUGAUUUUCGAAUUUUAAUACUAAUACUAAUUUAUUUAGUCUGGUAAUUUCACAAACGAUAACAAGGCCUCAUCUGCUUGCAUUUUAAUCGGUCCGAAGAGAUCUGAACAAUUAGAUUUGUAGGAGAUUUUUAAUAAUAUUCAUACUCAUUUGAUAAGUUGUCAAAUAAUAAAUUAUAACUUCUAUGCUUUGAACCUGACUUUUUAUCUCAUAACUAAAGAGUUUCUUUCUCUCAUUUCUCAAUUAAACAUCAUAUAAGUUUUCGUAAAAAUACUUUCAAGUAUUUGUUUUUUCCUAUUAAUAUUUUUUUUCUGUAUUGGUGUGUGUCAGGAACACUUGUUGCAAUAAGAUUUUUAAUGUGUUGUUGUUUAUCAAUGUUUUUGAAUGAAAAAUUAAUACUCCAAAUCAUGAUUAUUAAAACUUUUAGAACUUUUUUUUAAAUAAAAAAUGAUAUAUUUUGUUGAAGUUAAUUUUUUUAAUAAUAUUUUAUUAAUAUAAUGUUCAAUUUCACUUUCACAUUCAGAUAUUUAAAACAACAUUAAUUAUUUAGUAUUCAGAUGUAGAGACCACAUCUUAAUAUUCAAAUGUGUAUUUAGAUCAAAACACUCAUAUCUUAAUGCAAAUUUUAAUAUUCAGAUUCAAACAUCUUAAUUUUAAUAGAAACAAAUUAAAUGAGGCCGAAUAUAUGCUUAUGUACUAAACAUAUCAAAGGGAAAUCGGAAACUUAAUUAAAGAGUUAUCAAAUUUUUUAAAGAUCAACUAAAAAGAAAAAUAAGAUAAAGAAAUUAAGACGAAAAUAAAAAUUCUCUUUUAAAAAACAUAAAGAAAAUUCAUGUCUAGUUUAUUGGUACUUUAUUUGUCUAACAAUAGUUGUUCAUUAUUAACUUGACAUAAGUGAUUAAUAAAUAAGCAGUAAAUAAUAGGAAUAAUUUUAUUAUGCGGAUACGGGGCAUACCCCUAGCCUAUUGAUUCAGUCACCCCAAUUAAAUAUAAAUCAUCUAAAAAUUGAAAAAAUAAAGAUUUAUAAAUAACAAAAGUAAUUAACACAAAAUAAUAGCAUAUUCAUUAGUUUUAUAAAUUGAACAAAUAUUAUUAAAAUAUAAUGAACAAGUAAAGACGUAUUUAAGUUCUUCAUUUAUAGCGUUGGCAAAUUUAACUUUGACUCGACUAAUUUUGUUUAUUGAAUUAACAAUUAUAAUAUCAAAUAGUAGUACAUAGUUUCAUCAUCAUACAAUGCAUCUUAUAGUAAAAAGUCAUAGUACAAGUAAAGUUUAUUAUCGAAGAGAGAAGUAAAUUUAUGGAACUCCAUAUAAUAAUAGCUUGCUAGUAAAUUUCAUCACUUUCAACCAACGUUUCCAUCAAUUUUGUCAUCUAAAAAUUGAAGAAUAAAGUUAAAUUUCAAAUUAUAAAUUGGGAAAAUUAAAAAGAGAGAGAAUUAGUAGGUGUACCAUCUCCACAUCUUUUGUGGCACUUCUUAUCACAUUUGAUAUAUUGCUUGGCUGAAAAAUUAACAAAUUAUUUAUGUUAUUAUAAACACGGAUCUACUUUUUGUUUUAAUUAAAGAAGCUUUUUGAUAGGUACCAUUGAACUUCCUUAGCUUCAUUGUAAAAUUAAAUCCUACAAGUAAUUAUUAGUCUAUUGAAAGUAAAAUUUCUG